rnacentral:lncRNA from 1 species
UUCUCAGUUUCCUUCCCAAACUCUCCUUUCACAAUAACUCAUUUCCCAUUUUAUUAUAAAAAGGAUAUCUUUCAUCUAUCAAUGAGACAUUGCCACAGAGGGGGAAAAAAGAAACUAAAAAAUCUCUAAAGAAGCAAACAUAGAGAAAUGCAAAAGCUUGAGCCAUUGAGGAGAGCCUUGCGAUAACAAUGUGUCUGUACAAAAGAACAUAUAGCAGAAAGUUCAUGCUUCACUCAUUAAAUUGAAAAAGAGAAGGAGGAGGAGGAAAAGCAGAAGGUAAAGAAAAAAGAAAAGGACAAGGAGGAAGAGGAUAUGAGGGAUAAGAAGAGGAAGAAGAUAAACCACAUUACUACCAAUCCCUUCACAAUUGUGUGAACAGUGGACAGAAAACAGUUGGCAAGGAAUGUACAUUGAGAUUGUCGAAUACCAUUUUCCAAGGUAAAUGCGAAAUCUCUUUUCUAAUAGAACAUAUUUUAUGUGUUAUGUAUUUUAUGCGCCCUCUAUUUUUUUUCAAAUCUAGAACAACAUUUAUUUUCAAUAUUAAGCCUGAUGUCUGUGUGUGCCCUCUAUUCUUAAUUUAUAUUUAGUAGCAGCAUUUGGAAGUAAACCAUCAACAUAUAUGAUUCAUUUACAUGGACCAUGGAAACAAAUCCUUAAAUGAUGUGCUUUUUUGAUUUGUAACUGAUUUAUUAUGCCUUUUAUAUAAUCUGUUUAUUUUACUCUUCAAUCUGUCCUUUGGUUUGAAACCAUAAUUAUUUCUUAAAAACAAAAUAAUGGAAUGAGUUAGAAGUUCUAACCUUGUUCUGCUGUGGGGUAUGUGUGAGUGUGCAUGUGUGUGUGUUUUCUGUGAUCCAUAUGUAGUCUGAAACAAAGAAAGUGGAGGUUUAGAUGUUUAAUUUGUGUUCUUGUUUGAAUUUCAAGAUUUGAAAAAAAUUAAAUUUGAGAGGCAACAGUGUGAAAAAAAUAUGAUUGAUGUAGAG